rnacentral:lncRNA from 1 species
AGUUGAUUCGAAUGAAGAACCUUACCCGACUUCCUACGGUAACCAUGAAGUCAAGCAACCCGAUUAUAUUACCGGGUAUAGAACACAUAGCCACGAUUCCAACAAACCUUACAUAACUUCCUACCGUAACCAUGAAGCCAAGCAACCAGAUUACAUUACCGGUUAUAGGACUCAUAGCCACGAUUCCAACAAACCUUACAUAACUUCCUAUAGUAACCAUGAAGCCAAGCAACCAGAUUACAUUACCGGAUAUAGGACCCAUGCCGAUGAAUCCAAUGGACAGUACAUAACAUCCUAUGGUA